CAGUCGAACGAACCAUCCUGAUGAUUGAAGCUUGCUUCAUGAUUCAGACCUUGGUGAGUGGCGGACGGGUGAGUAACACGUGGGUAACCUGCCCAGAAGUGGGGGAUAACAUUUGGAAACAAGUGCUAAUACCGCAUAACAACUUAGAUCACAUGAUCUUUGUUUAAAAGAUGGUUUUGCUAUCUCUUCUGGAUGGACCCGCGGCGUAUUAGCUAGUUGGUGAGGUAAUAGCUCACCAAGGCGAUGAUACGUAGCCGACCUGAGAGGGUAAUCGGCCACAUUGGGACUGAGACACGGCCCAAACUCCUACGGGAGGCAGCAGUAGGGAAUCUUCCACAAUGGACGAAAGUCUGAUGGAGCAAUGCCGCGUGAGUGAAGAAGGUUUUCGGAUCGUAAAACUCUGUUGUUGAAGAAGAAUAUAUGUGAGAGUAACUGUUCACGUACUGACGGUAUUCAACCAGAAAGCCACGGCUAACUACGUGCCAGCAGCCGCGGUAAUACGUAGGUGGCAAGCGUUGUCCGGAUUUAUUGGGCGUAAAGAGAAUGUAGGCGGUUUAUUAAGUUUGAAGUGAAAGCCCUCGGCUCAACCGAGGAAGUGCUUCGAAAACUGGUAAACUUGAGUGCAG
rnacentral:rRNA from 2 species